rnacentral:misc_RNA from 1 species
GAUGAAGAACGCAGCGAAAUGCGAUAAGUAAUGUGAAUUGCAGAAUUCAGUGAAUCAUCGAAUCUUUGAACGCACCUUGCGCCCUUUGGCCAUUCCGAAGGGCUUGCCUGUUUGAGUAUCAUGAACACCUCAACUCUUUAUGGUUUUCCAUGAUGAGCUUGGACUCUGGGGGUUUUGCUAGCUCACAGUCGGCUCCUCUAAAAUGAAUCAGCUUACCAGUGUUUGGUGGGUAUCAUGGGUGUGAUAACUAUCUACGCUUGUGGUUUUUCCACCAGGUAACCUUCAGCAGUGGAGGUUCGCUGGAGCUCAUAGAUGUCUCUCCUCAGUGAGGACAGCCCUUUGAAUGUUUGAUCUCAAAUCAGGUAGGACUACCCGCUGAACUUAAGCAUAUCAAUAAGCGGAGGA